rnacentral:rRNA from 1 species
UACGUAGGGUGCAAGCGUUGUCCGGAAUUAUUGGGCGUAAAGAGCUCGUAGGCGGUUUGUCGCGUCUGCCGUGAAAGUCCGGGGCUCAACUCCGGAUCUGCGGUGGGUACGGGCAGACUAGAGUGAUGUAGGGGAGACUGAAUUCCUGGUGUAGCGGUGAAAUGCGCAGAUAUCAGGAGGAACACCGAUGGCGAAGGCAGGUCUCUGGGCAUUAACUGACGCUGAGGAGCGAAAGCAUGGGGAGCGAACAGG